rnacentral:lncRNA from 10 species
CCGGAAGGAAGGCCAUGAUUUCAGCUCUCUGGGAUUUGAGACAAAGAGGCCCCUUUUCUUUCAUUUUAUCUUUUCAUGUCUCUUCUUGCCAUGUACCCACAUGAUUGAGUGUGGGCUGAGGGUGAAUCCAAGAAGGGCUUUGUUUUGUGGUCAGUACAGGCUUUGGUCCACAGAGACAACAAUACUUUCAAUACUCUUUUGUUCUGCCCCAGAGGAGCUCAACACAGAAUUGCCUAGAACAAGAAACUGGAAUUGUACAUGGCGAUCAUCAGCAGUAUGAAGAGGAGCUGUGGGGCCAGUGAGAGAAGCUGCAGCCUGUUGAGACUCCACAAGACUGAAGAUAUGAAAAGAGGAAAUAUGCAUGAAUGCCCGCACGGAGAACCACCCCCACCUGCUGCUCCCGCUCUAAUGAUCACGCCCAUUAUCAACUGGGGGAUGGCUCUGUGCCUUGUCCUUGCAUUACAUGGACCAAGAACACUUCACAGGACUCAGAGAGGCAAAAAUAGAUACAAAAGAAGAAGGAAUUACAGAAGAAGUCACAUAACAUUAUUGCCUACAACUGACUGUUUACCUUGAAUACUUGAAGACCAGAAUGAAGAUUCUUGGGGUGAAGAAUUACAGCCUUAGCAUGGAGCAGGCCUCGGUGCAUCGGCUUUCAGCUAGGCAUGCCUGCCAAUGUUCAACGUCCUCCUGGGAUACGGAAGGCACCGUGAUAGACAUCUGGGCAAGUCAACAGGAAGGUGGAUAUCCAAAUCUCUCUCUUCGCAAUGAGUUUCCAGUUAGAUGGAGGAGAGAGUAAUAAAACACAGAGCUGAGAUUCCUGACUUCACAGAUCCCUGAGGAGAUGUUUACUAAAGGGAAUCUUCUGGUCACUGUUACCUUCCUCCGUACUUACCUGCCUCAUGGAUAACACUGAAGAAUGCAGUUUACUUACAUCUUUUUCUGUUUGACAGAAGACAGUUAUUAGAACCCGAAAGGAAGAAGCUAUACGACUGGGGACACAUGUCUUAGAAGCACACUCAUUAGAUAAAGUGUCGCAUACUCUUUGAUAAGAAACUCCAGGCUGUCACCCAUCUGUUCUCUCAUCAAAGUAGUUUUGGGCCAGCAACUAUUUCAGACAUUUCUACAGUUUCAGAUGUCUCACUCUGCCUAUGACUGUAUGUUGUACUUGAGGACUGGACGCACAGGGUAAAGUGCAAAUAGCAAGCAUUCAGGUCCAACUCUCCUCCUUCUGGUUAACAAUAUGAAAGAAAGAGGUAGUAUCGGAAUUAUUUUAGUUCAAUGUAGCCAU